rnacentral:rRNA from 1 species
UACAGAGGGUGCAAACGUUGCUCGGAAUUACUGGGCGUAAAGCGCGUGUAGGCUGACAUGCAAGUCGGGUGUGAAAUCCCAGGGCUCAACCUUGGAACUGCAUUCGAAACUGCACGUCUUGAGUACUGGAGAGGGAAGCGGAAUUCCGGGUGUAGAGGUGAAAUUCGUAGAUAUCCGGAGGAACACCAGUGGCGAAGGCGGCUUCCUGGACAGUAACUGACGCUGAGACGCGAAAGCGUGGGGAGCAAACAGG